GACGUAGGGCGCGAGCGUUGUCCGGAUUUAUUGGGCGUAAAGAGCUCGUAGGCGGCUUGUCGCGUCGUCCGUGAAAACCUGCAGCUCAACUGCAGGCUUGCGGUCGAUACGGGCAGGCUAGAGUUCGGUAGGGGAGACUGGAAUUCCUGAUGUAGCGGUGAAAUGCGCAGAUAUCAGGAGGAACACCGGUGGCGAAGGCGGGUCUCUGGGCCGAUACUGACGCUGAGGAGCGAAAGCGUGGGGAGCGAACAGG
rnacentral:rRNA from 1 species